GACGGAGGAUGCAAGUGUUAUCCGGAAUCACUGGGCGUAAAGCGUCUGUAGGUCGUUUAAAAAGUCUACUGUUAAAAAUUGAAGCUUAACUUCAAAGAUGCCGUAGAAACUUUUAAACUUGAGUAUGGUAGGGGUAGAGGGAAUUUCCAGUGGAGCGGUGAAAUGCGUAGAUAUUGGAAAGACCACCAAUGGCGAAGGCACUCUACUGGGCCAUUACUGACGCUGAGGAGCGAAAGCGUGGGGAGCGAACAGG
rnacentral:rRNA from 1 species